GUAGUCAAUCUACCCUAUGGACGGGAAUAACCUCGGGAAACUGAGAAUAAUGCCCGAUAGAACAUUAUGCCUGGAAUGGUUUAUGUUUCAAAUGAUUUAUCGCCAUAGGAUGGGACUGCGGCCUAUCAGUUUGUUGGUGAGGUAAUGGCCCACCAAGACUAUUACAGGUACGGGCUCUGAGAGGAGUAGCCCGGAGAUGGGUACUGAGACACGGACCCAGGCCCUAUGGGGCGCAGCAGGCGAGAAAACUUUGCAAUGUGCGAAAGCACGACAAGGUUAAUCCGAGUGGUUUCUGCUAAAGAAACCUUUUGUCAGUCCUAGAAACACUAACGAAUAAGGGGUGGGCAAGUUCUGGUGUCAGCCGCCGCGGUAAAACCAGCACCUCAAGUGGUCAGGAUGAUUAUUGGGCCUAAAGCAUCCGUAGCCCGUUUUGUAAGUUUUCGGUUAAAUCCAUGCGCUUAACGUAUGGGCUGCCGGGAAUACUGCAUAACUAGGAAGUGGGAGAGGUAGACGGUACUCGGUAGGAAGGGGUAAAAUCCUUUGAUCUAUUGAUGACCACCUGUGGCGAAGGCGGUCUACCAGAACACGUUCGACGGUGAGGGAUGAAAGCUGGGGGAGCAAACCGGAUUAGAUACCCGGGUAGUCCCAGCUGUAAACUAUGCAAACUCAGUGAUGCAUUGGCUUAUGGCCAAUGCAGUGCUGCAGGGAAGCCGUUAAGUUUGCCGCCUGGGAAGUACGUACGCAAGUAUGAAACUUA
rnacentral:rRNA from 1 species